rnacentral:rRNA from 1 species
AUUGAACGCUGGCGGCAGGCCUAACACAUGCAAGUCGAACGAGUGGAGGACGGGUGAGUAAUGCUUGGGAAUCUAGCUUAUGGAGGAGGAUAACUACGGGAAACUGUAGCUAAUACCGCGUAAAAUAGGAUGAGCCCAAGUGGGAUUAGGUAGUUGGUGAGGGAAAGGCUCACCAAGCCGACUAUCUCUAGCUGGUCUGAGAGGAUGACCGGCCACACUGGUACUGAGACACGGCCCAGACUCCUACGUGAGGCAGCAGUGGUGAAUAUUGCGCAAUGGGGGCAACCUGACGCAGCCAUGCCGCGUGAAGGAAGAAGGCCUUCGGGUUGUAAAGUUCUUUCGGUUGCGAGUCGUUAACUACAGGAGAAGCACCGGCUAACUCCGUGCCAGCCGCCGCGGUAAUAC